UUUAAGAUUAAAUUAAAACUAAAAAAUUAAAUAAGAUACAUUUUUAAUUUGAUAAAGCAAUUUGUUUUAAAAAAUUACGGACAUACUUCGCACAUGGGUGGGCAACUGAUGUAGGUGAGAAGUUGGGAAGGCAGUGAGGAAAUUUAAGGUACAUCUGUAAGCAAUGAUAAACCAUUACUAAGGAAAAAAAAUAUUCUAAACGGUAUUCAGUUGAUAGUGUUGCUUUGUUAACAAUAUAUGUCAUAUUAUGUUAAAAUAAUUAAAUAGGCAUUAUUCA